UACCAGCACCCCGAGUGGUCGGGACGAUUAUUGGGCCUAAAGCAUCCGUAGCCGGUUCUGCAAGUCUUCCGUUAAAUCCACCUGCUCAACAGAUGGGCCGCGGAGGAUACUACAGGGCUAGGAGGCGGGAGAGGCAAGCGGUACUCAGUGGGUAGGGGUAAAAUCCUCUGAUCCACUGAAGACCACCAAUGGCGAAGGCGGCUUGCCAGAACGCGCUCGACGGUGAGGGAUGAAAGCUGGGGGAGCAAACCGG
rnacentral:rRNA from 1 species